UACAGAGGGUGCAAGCGUUAAUCGGAAUUACUGGGCGUAAAGCGUGCGUAGUCGGUUAUUUAAGUCGGAUGUGAAAUCCCCGGGCUCAACCUGGGAAUUGCAUUCGAUACUGGAUAGCUAGAGUUCGGCAGAGGGAAGUGGAAUUCCGGGUGUAGCGGUGAAAUGCGUAGAUAUCCGAAGGAACAUCAGUGGCGAAAGCGACUUCCUGGACCAGAACUGACGAUCAGGCACGAAAGCGUGGGGAGCAAACAGG
rnacentral:rRNA from 1 species